ACCCGCUGAACUUAAGCAUAUCAAUAAGCGGAGGAAAAGAGACCAACAGGGAUUACCUCAGUAACGGCGAGUGAAGCGGUAACAGCUCAAAUUUGAAAUCUGGCUCUUUCGGGGUCCGAGUUGUAAUUUGUAGAAGAUGCUUUGGGUGUGGUCCCGGUCUAAGUUCCUUGGAACAGGACGUCAUAGAGGGUGAGAAUCCCGUAUGUGACUGGGUGCCUUCGCCCGUGUAAAGCUCUUUCGACGAGUCGAGUUGUUUGGGAAUGCAGCUCAAAAUGGGUGGUAAAUUUCAUCUAAAGCUAAAUAUUGGCCAGAGACCGAUAGCGCACAAGUAGAGUGAUCGAAAGAUGAAAAGCACUUUGGAAAGAGAGUUAAACAGUACGUGAAAUUGUUGAAAGGGAAGCGCUUGCAACCAGACUUGCCCGCCGUCGAUCAUCCGGGGUUCUCCCCGGUGCACUCGGCGGCGAUCAGGCCAGCAUCGGUUUCGGUGGUGGGAUAAAGGCCUUGGGAAUGUAGCUUCUUUCGGGGAGUGUUAUAGCCCUCGGUGCAAUGCCACCUACCGGGACCGAGGACCGCGCUUCGGCUAGGAUGCUGGCGUAAUGGUUGUAAGCGACCCGUCUUGAAACACGG
rnacentral:rRNA from 1 species